AGGACGAACGCUGGCGGCGUGCUUAACACAUGCAAGUCGAGCGGAAAGGCCCUUCGGGGUACUCGAGCGGCGAACGGGUGAGUAACACGUGAGCAAUCUGCCCUUAGCUUCGGGAUAGCCCCGGGAAACCGGGAUUAAUACCGAAUAUGACCUCGGCCGACAUCGGCUUUGGCGGAAAGUUUUUCGGCUAGGGAUGAACUCGCGGCCUAUCAGCUUGUUGGUGGGGUAAUGGCCUACCAAGGCGACGACGGGUAGCCGGCCUGAGAGGGCGACCGGCCACACUGGGACUGAGACACGGCCCAGACUCCUACGGGAGGCAGCAGUGGGGAAUAUUGCGCAAUGGGCGAAAGCCUGACGCAGCGACGCCGCGUGGGGGAUGAAGGCCUUCGGGUUGUAAACCCCUUUCAGCAGGGACGAAGCGAGAGUGACGGUACCUGCAGAAGAAGCGCCGGCUAACUACGCGCCAGCAGCCGC
rnacentral:rRNA from 1 species